GUUGCUGCUCCUGGCGUUGCUGCUGCUGAAGAUGCUGCUGCAACUGUUGCUGCUGCUGUUGCUGCUGCUGAAGAUGCUGCUGCAGCUGUUGCUGCUGCUUUUGCUGCUCCUGGAGCUGCUGCUGCUGGAGUUGCUGCUGCUGAAGAUGCUGCAAC
rnacentral:sRNA from 1 species